rnacentral:rRNA from 1 species
UACGGAGGGUGCAAGCAUUGAUCGGAAUUACUGGGCGUAAAGGGUGCGUAGGUGGAUUGUUAAGUCAGAUGUGAAAUUCCGCGGCUCAACUGCGGAGCUGCAUUUGAAACUGGCGAUCUAGAGCAUAGUUAGGGAAAACGGAAUUCCACGUGUAGCGGUGAAAUGCGUAGAUAUGUGGAAGAACACCAGUGGUGAAGACGGUUUUCUGGGCUAUAGCUGACACUGAGGCACGAAAGCUAGGGGAG